ACAAACAUGUCAGCACUCAAAUGUGCGUAAGUGUGCUUUCGAGUGUGCGUAGAUUCUGUUGCCUAAGAACAAAUUUCAAAUAAGAAAACAUUGAUGAAUGUCAGAAUCUUCGUGAAAACUACGUAAGUGGGUUUUAAGAAGGAAAUUAUUAAGAACAGUCGAUGAAUGAGGCCCAUUUGUCUUUCUUUUCAUUCUUUUUCCCCUGUCCUUUUGUCUCUUGAGAAUUAGUGGUUAUUCUGCCUCAGGUGAAUAGCUUAAAGAAUCCCUGUUCAGUUGCGUUUGGUCUUCCAAAACCCCCACUCCAUCACACGAUAUUUGGAGAGGACAGGUCAAAAUGACCCCAACAAAUUCAAACAGAAAAGAUAAUACAAUAACAUACACAGCUCUUUUGAUGAAUUUUCAGUUUGUUCUUUCAUAUUCAGAAAUGUAUUUUCUUUCAUGUUCCUACACAGACAUGACAGCAUUUUAAAAAAUAUCCAGUUGAAUUGUGUUGGUACCGCUCCUGACAAGUCAUUUUUUUCUUUCCAUUUUCGGACUCCAGAUGGCAAUUCCGUUUACAUACUGUGACCUUUUGGCUGGCUGAACAUCCCAGACAGCAAGAAUUAAAAGAGGACACCAGGUAGUCAGCUGCAGUGCUGGCGUGAUCAACCUCAUUAUUAAUGGAAGGUCACACACCUGCUUUGGAGCCCAGGAGCACUGUCUCAGUGGAACGUGUUAACAUUGGUCCUACAUUGACCAUAAGGAGGAAUAAAGACACUGCACCUGGCUGAUGUGACAUUUACAAA